CCCGCGUCCCAUUAGCUAGUUGGUGAGGUAAGGGCUCACCAAGGCAACGAUGGGUAGCCGGCCUGAGAGGGUGACCGGCCACACUGGGACUGAGACACGGCCCAGACUCCUACGGGAGGCAGCAGUAGGGAAUUUUCGGCAAUGGGCGCAAGCCUGACCGAGCAACGCCGCGUGAGGGAAGAAGGUCUUCGGAUCGUAAACCUUUGUCAUCGAGGACGGUAAUGACGGUACCCGAGGAGGAAGCCCCGGCUAACUACGUGCCAGCAGCCGCGGUAAUACGUAGGGGGCGAGCGUUGUCCGGAAUUACUGGGCGUAAAGGGCGUGUAGGCGGCCUGAUAAGUCAGAUGUGAAAUCCCAAGGCUUAACCGUGGGUUUGCAUUUGAAACUGUUGGGCUUGAGGGCAGGAGAGGGAAGCGGAAUUCCCAGUGUAGCGGUGAAAUGCGUAGAUAUUGGGAGGAACACCAGUGGCGAAGGCGGCUUCCUGGACUGCACCUGACGCUGAGGCGCGAAAGCUAGGGUAGCGAACARGAUUAGAUACCCCGGUAGUCCUAGCCGUAAACGAUGGGUACUAGGUGUGGGAGGUAUCGACCCCUUCCGUGCCGCAGUUAACGCAAUAAGUACCCCGCCUGGG
rnacentral:rRNA from 1 species